GAUUUCUGAUGCGACCUGCCUGGCCCGCCGUGGUUACACGCGUGAGUGCCGGGUGUUGUCCGUCUGUCUUCCUGUGACUUGCUGCCCUCUUCACUGAGUGGUGGUGUCUAGUUGUAGGAUCUUUUACUUUGAACAAAUUAGAGUGUUUCAAGCAGGCUUCUGCCAUGAAUACAUUAGCAUGGAAUAAUAAGUUAGGACUUCGGUUCUAUUUUGUUGGUUUCUAGGACUGAAGUAAUGAUUGAUAGGGAUAGUUGGGGGUGCUAGUAUUCAGCGGCCAGAGGUGAAAUUCUCGGAUUCGCUGAAGACUAACUUAUGCGAAAGCAUU
rnacentral:rRNA from 1 species